ACAAACAAACAAAAAAGAAAACAAAAUAAAAGAAAAAAAGAGAAAAGAAAUUCCCUUCUCCCUUCUUCUUCCCUUAUCCCUCUUCUCUUAUCCCUCUUUCCUUUCUCUUUCUCUUUC
rnacentral:ribozyme from 13 species